GAGUAAGUUGAUCUGCAGUUCGACGGAGUUACCUUUUCUGAAGCGAUUCGCUUGCUAAGAGUGGAAAGGUUGGUAACUUCAGUGGCGGACGGGUGAGUAACGCGUGGAGAACCUGCCUUACGCAGGGGGAUAACACUUAGAAAUAGGUGCUAAUACCGCAUAAGCGCACAGGACCGCAUGGUCCGGUGUGAAAAACUGAGGUGGUGUAAGAUGGCUCCGCGUCUGAUUAGCUUGUUGGUAGGGUAACGGCCUACCAAGGCGACGAUCAGUAGCCGGCCUGAGAGGGUGAACGGCCACAUUGGGACUGAGACACGGCCCAAACUCCUACGGGAGGCAGCAGUGGGGAAUAUUGGACAAUGGGGGAAACCCUGAUCCAGCGACGCCGCGUGAGUGAAGAAGUAUUUCGGUAUGUAAAGCUCUAUCAGCAGGGAAGAAAAUGACGGUACCUGACUAAGAAGCCCCGGCUAACUACGUGCCAGCAGCCGCGGUAAUACGUAGGGGGCAAGCGUUAUCCGGAUUUACUGGGUGUAAAGGGAGCGUAGACGGCAUUGCAAGUCUGAUGUGAAAGAUUGGGGCUCAACCCCAGGCCUGCAUUGGAAACUGUAAAGCUGGAGUACAGGAGAGGUAAGCGGAAUUCCUAGUGUAGCGGUGAAAUACGUAGAUAUUAGGAGGAACACCAGUGGCGAAGGCGGCUUACUGGACUGUAACUGACGUUGAGGCUCGAAAGCGUGGGGAGCAAACAGGAUUAGA
rnacentral:rRNA from 1 species